CAACAGUUUAAACCUGUAUUGGGGAAGUGAGUUUUAUGAUAUUAAGAGCCUGCGCUUUGCUUUAGUCCUGGAGGCUGUCAUCUGGGUGUGGAGGGAGGAAUCAAAGUGAGCGUUUUGCUCCUAAGGCACUACCCUGUACUAGUCAUCCCAGAAGACUCAUGUCAGUUCUAAGGAGGAGGACAGGACGUCUUGGCAGAAAUCACAUGGUUAGUGAGGACAUCACACCUCACUGAGACACUCAUUCUCUCUUUUGGUCCAGCCAAACUGUGGGACUAGCAUGGACACAGUGAAAGCAGAAGCUAGAUGUCAAAGAAAAAAGCACUGCCUUUCAAUGCUCAAGAUGAACCCUCCAACCUAAGUUCUACAGGAUAUACAAUGCAGAAAGCAGACUGGAACAAAGCUACUAAAAUGCUUUUAUAUAAAUCAGAAGAAAACUGAAUACCUAAGAGUUGCCUUAAGAUCCCAGCAGGUUCUGGGAGAUCCAUACUGUGGGAGAGAACGAUGUGCCUCUAAGGAAGUCUUUAAAGGAACAAGACAAUCUGGAACAAAGGGAAAGUCAGGCUGCAGAAUUAAUUUCUUUUUUUCCUGCUAGGGCUCCAAAUCUUCCCACCUCCGGUCCAGUGAAAGUCUGGUUCAGAAGUGACAGUUUGUAGCCCAAGCUCAAUCUCUCUCAGCCCCUAUCAAAGGGUACCCCGAAGGCUCCAAGCUCUUAGCACAGUCCUUCACCCCACAGAUGUCCCUCACCCCACAGACUUCCUCCCCUGUCCACCUCCGCCACAGGAAGCAGAUGGUUUUCCCUUCCUGACCUUUCUAACUGGAUUUAGGGACCUCUUGAAGUAAUUUCAAUCACAUAAGGAAGUGACAUGGUUAACUGAAAGAAAUGAAAACACCAAGACUCAAAAGAUUUGGAUCUAGUCUUGUUUCUGCCACCAACCAGCGCUGAGUCUUCUUUCUGAACUCACCACAGAACCAACUGACUUUCUUCAGUGUUUGUCUGAUUUAAUCCCUGCAACAUUUGACAUUAUUGAUAAAAUGCUUCUAAUAAAAAAUGAAAAUAAUUUCUUACGAAACA
rnacentral:lncRNA from 1 species